rnacentral:rRNA from 1 species
UUGCGGUUAAAAAGCUCGUAGUUGGAUCUCGGCAAGUAGAGGGCGGUAUGCUUCGUAGCAUUACUGCCCUAUUACUUGUAGUUUUGCCAGAGGUUCCUGGGUGCUCUUAAUCGAGUGUCUAGGGAUGCUGGCAGGUUUACUUUGAAAAAAUUAGAGUGCUCAAAGCAGGCUAUUACGCUUGAAUAUUCGUGCAUGGAAUAAUAGAAUAGGAAGUUGUUUCUAUUUUGUUGGUUUUCGGAAAUCGACUUAAUGAUUAAUAGGGACAGUCGGGGGCAUUUGUAUUCAAACGACAGAGGUGAAAUUCUUGGACCGUUUGAAGACAAACUACUGCGAAAGCAUUUGCCAAGAAUGUUUUCAUUAAUCAAGAACGAAAGUUAGAGGUUCGAAGGCGAUUAGAUACCGCCCUAGUUCUAACCAUAAACGAUGCCAGCUAGCGAUCUGAGGACGUUUUUUUUGUAGACUCCUCAGGAAGCUUCCGGGAAACCAAAGCGUGUGGGUUCCGGGGGAAGUAUGGUUGCAAAGCUGAAACUUAAAGGAAUUGACGGAAGGGCACCACCAGGAGUGGAGCCUGCGGCUUAUUUGACUCAACACGGGAAAUCUCACCAGGCCCGGACACUG